ACUAUCUUCUCUCUCAUAAAUGAUAUUUCUACUUGUGUUUAGUAACUCUAGCAUUACUUCAAAGGGGAAUAAUUUUAAUCUUGCUAUACAACUGGGGAGACUCCUAAACAAACUAAGCACCUUUAAAAAGAAACCCAUAUCAGAGAGAGGGAAAAUGAAUUUCUCUUAAAGGUCAACCAGUAAUCUGUGUGGGCCACUCAUAUAAAAUUUUGUCUCUCUUCAGCUGCAUCCAUUUUUGAGGAAAAUUAAAGUGACAAAUGCUGCUGGAGAUGAAAUAAGCUUUGAUGAGAACAAGAAUGUCAUGGAAACAUAUGAUAUACAAAACUUUAUUGCAUAUAGUAAGCAAAAUUCAUUAAUACUUAAAGUGGGAGAAUUUGUCUUCAAGAGUCCACAAGACCAAGGCUUUUUCAUCAAUGAAGUUCUGAUUCAAUGGCCAAGCAAUUUUAAUCAGACUCCUCAAUCUGUAUGUACACAGAGCUGUGGUCCAGGAUUCUGGAAAGUUCUACAAGAAGAAAGACCCAUUUGCUGUUUUUCUUGUGUAUUUUGUCCGGAGUGGCACAUUUCCAACCAGACAGGUAGAAAAAUAACACCUAUCCUCAACUGCUUGGGAAUGUAGAAGGGGAAAGUUACAAACUGACUAUGGUGUCAUAAUGCAAUGCUGUUCUCCAUGUCUCUUUCCCUCAUCCCUGAAUCCAUUAGUAAUCACUGCUGAUGCCACAAAAUGUGUGAAGAUUUGAGUGGCAAUUCUCUUGCUAUUGUGUCAUAUGAAAACUACUAAAAAAAAAAAAAAAACCCUGCCUUUUGGUGCAUGACAUGGCUAUCUCCAUGGUAUAGGUUCCCCAUUAAUUGCGAGAUCUCCACUGGUCCAGAAUUGAUUUUUAUUUCUGCAAUAAACAAACCUAAUGAUUUUUGCCUGAAGAUAACUCCAGGAAAAGUA